rnacentral:rRNA from 1 species
CUACGGGUUGCAGCAGUGGGGAAUAUUGCACAAUGGGCGCAAGCCUGAUGCAGCAACGCCGCGUGAGGGACGAAGGCCUUCGGGUUGUAAACCUCUUUUAGCAGGGAAGAAGCGAAAGUGACGGUACCUGCAGAAAAAGCACCGGCUAACUACGUGCCAGCAGCCGCGGUAAUACGUAGGGUGCAAGCGUUGUCCGGAAUUAUUGGGCGUAAAGAGCUCGUAGGCGGUUUGUCACGUCUGCUGUGAAAUUUCGAGGCUCAACCUCGAACUUGCAGUGGGUACGGGCAGGCUAGAGUGCGGUAGGGGAGAUGGGAAUUCCUGGUGUAGCGGUGGAAUGCGCAGAUAUCAGGAGGAACACCAAUGGCGAAGGCACAUCUCUGGGCCGUAACUGACGCUGAGGAGCGAAAGCGUGGGGAGCGAACAGGAUUAGAUACCCGGGUAGUC